AUGUUGAUCUCCUUGCAGGAGGAUGGGGUGCAGCAGACAGCCAGGCCACAUCGAUCCGGGCUGCAGGACGUGUUUAGUGAAAAAUCUAUAGGGCUCAGCUUAGGGUGUCAGCUGUCAGUCUGCAGAGCAUCUGUCAGAAGAGUAUUUGCUUCACUGCCGCUGAAUAGCCCUCAGAAAGCUGAACAGAGGCACCCAGAGGACCGUGAAUACUGGCAGGACUCCUCAAGAUUGAUUUGUGCAGUGUUGGAAGAUGAUAGUAGGGACUUUAAAUCCAUACUUCAGGAGGCCGGAAAAUCAUCUAUCUGGAGUGAAGAGAUGGCAACAGGUCACCAAAUGGGUGCAGCCAGCAGCAUCACUGCAGAAGGUGGAAGCCUGACCUCCAAGCACAUCAGUUUUCACAGCAGUUUCUGACUUGUGACUCUGAGAAACAAUUCAAACAUCUUGUUUAUUCAAAUGAGAGGCUGUGAAAUGACCUGACAUCUUUCCUGGAUGCGGUUUCAG
rnacentral:lncRNA from 1 species